rnacentral:rRNA from 1 species
UAGUGGCAGACGGGUGAGUAAUGUAUAGGAAUCUACCUAGUAGUACGGAAUAAUUGUUGGAAACGGCAACUAAUACCGUAUACGCCCUACGGGGGAAAAAUUUAUUGCUAUUAGAUGAGCCUAUAUUAGAUUAGUUAGUUGGUGGGGUAAUAGCCUACCAAGGCAAUGAUCUAUAGCUGAUCUGAGAGGAUGAUCAGCCACACUGGAACUGAGAUACGGUCCAGACUCCUACGGGAGGCAGCAGUGGGGAAUAUUGGACAAUGGGCGAAAGCCUGAUCCAGCCAUGCCGCAUGAGUGAAGAAGGCCUUCGGGUUGUAAAGCUCUUUUAGUGAGGAAGAUAAUGACGGUACUCACAGAAGAAGUCCUGGCUAACUCCGUGCCAGCAGCCGCGGUAAUACGGAGAGGGCUAGCGUUAUUCGGAAUUAUUGGGCGUAAAGGGCGCGUAGGCGGAUUAGUAAGUUAAAAGUGAAAUCCCAAGGCUCAACCUUGGAAUUGCUUUUAAAACUGCUAAUCUAGAGAUUGAAAGAGGAUAGAGGAAUUCCUAGUGUAGAGGUGAAAUUCGUAAAUAUUAGGAGGAACACCAGUGGCGAAGGCGUCUAUCUGGUUCAAAUCUGACGCUGAGGCGCGAAGGCGUGGGGAGCAAACAGGAUUAGAUACCCUGGUAGUCCACGCUGUAAACGAUGAAUGUUAAAUAUGGGGAGUUUACUUUCUGUAUUACAGCUAACGCGUUAAACAUUCCGCCUGGGGACUACGGUCGCAAGAUUAAAACUCAAAGGAAUUGACGGGGACCCGCACAAGCGGUGGAGCAUGUGGUUUAAUUCGAUGCAACGCGAAAAACCUUACCACUCCUUG